rnacentral:rRNA from 1 species
AUUGAACGCUGGCGGCAUGCUUUACACAUGCAAGUCGAACGGUAACAGGCCGCAAGGUGCUGACGAGUGGCGAACGGGUGAGUAAUGCAUCGGAACGUGCCCAGUCGUGGGGGAUAACGCAGCGAAAGCUGUGCUAAUACCGCAUACGAUCUAUGGAUGAAAGCGGGGGACCGUAAGGCCUCGCGCGAUUGGAGCGGCCGAUGUCAGAUUAGGUAGUUGGUGGGGUAAAGGCCUACCAAGCCGACGAUCUGUAGCUGGUCUGAGAGGACGACCAGCCACACUGGGACUGAGACACGGCCCAGACUCCUACGGGAGGCAGCAGUGGGGAAUUUUGGACAAUGGGCGCAAGCCUGAUCCAGCAAUGCCGCGUGCCGGAAGAAGGCCUUCGGGUUGUAAACUGCUUUUGUACGGAACGAAACGGCCUGGGUUAAUACCCUGGGCUAAUGACGGUACCGUAAGAAUAAGCACCGGCUAACUACGUGCCAGCCGCCGCAGUAA